rnacentral:rRNA from 1 species
GAUCCUGGCUCAGGACGAACGCUGGCGGCGUGCUUAACACAUGCAAGUCGAACGGGGCGCUUAUGAUGGAGAUUUCGGUCAACGGAUUAAGUUGCCUAGUGGCGGACGGGUGAGUAACGCGUGAGUAACCUGCCUUUCAGAGGGGGACGAACAGUUGGAAACGACUGCUAAUACCGCAUAAUAUAUAUGGACCGCAUGAUCUGUAUAUCAAAGAUUUAUCGCUGAAAGAUGGACUCGCG